rnacentral:rRNA from 1 species
AUUGAACGCUGGCGGCAUGCCUUACACAUGCAAGUCGAACGGCAGCAUAGGAGCUUGCUCCUGAUGGCGAGUGGCGAACGGGUGAGUAAUAUAUCGGAACGUGCCCUAGAGUGGGGGAUAACUAGUCGAAAGACUAGCUUAUACCGCAUACGAACUACGGAUGAAAGUGGGGGAUCGCAAGACCUCAUGCUCCUGGAGCGGCCGAUAUCUGAUUAGCUAGUUGGUGGGGUAAAAGCCUACCAAGGCGACGAUCAGUAGCUGGUCUGAGAGGACGACCAGCCACACUGGGACUGAGACACGGCCCAGACUCCUACGGGAGGCAGCAGUGGGGAAUUUUGGACAAUGGGGGCAACCCUGAUCCAGCAAUGCCGCGUGAGUGAAGAAGGCCUUCGGGUUGUAAAGCUCUUUUGUCAGGGAAGAAACGGUAGUAGCUAAUAUCUAUUACUAAUGACGGUACCUGAAGAAUAAGCACCGGCUAACUACGUGCCAGCAGCCGCCGUAA